rnacentral:rRNA from 1 species
CUACGUAGGGUGCAAGCGUUAAUCGGAAUUACUGGGCGUAAAGCGUGCGCAGGCGGUUUUGUAAGACAGAGGGGAAAUCCCCGGGCUCAACCUGGGCACUGCCUUUGUUACUGCAAGGCUAGAGUACGGCAGAGGGGGAUGGAAUUCCGCGUGUAGCAGUGAAAUGCGUAGAUAUGCGGAGGAACACCGAUGGCGAAGGCAAUCCCCUGGGCCUGUACUGACGCUCAUGCACGAAAGCGUGGGGAGCAAACAGGAUUAGAUACCCUGGUAGUCCACGCCCUAAACGAUGUCAACUGGUUGUUGGGUCUUCAUUGACUCAGUAACGAAGCUAACGCGUGAAGUUGACCGCCUGGGGAGUACGGCCGCAAGGUUGAAACUCAAAUGAAUUGGCGGGG